UAUAUUUAUGGAUUUUCAUAAUGCUUUGAAAGCAUGAAAGCAAAUAAUAAAGACUUUUCUCCUGAAUUAUAUUAGCUCAAAUAUAAGAUCAAGAGCCGAUUUUUUGGUAUUUUAUUGAUUGUAUAACUUAAUGUAUUCUGUAAUUGCCUUUUGUAAAGUUUAAGAUACUUUAGGUUACUGUUGGAUGAUAUGGAGCAUCAUUGAGAAAGAAAGUAAUUGAACACAUUUUUAAAAUAACAAUGACUUGAAAAUUCUGCAAUCUGAUGAAAUAAGAGAUUCGUAGAAGCCAUGGGAAAUUUCAGGAGGUGAGGAGGGAACAUAGCUGUCUGUUAAGAACAUCUUAGAGGCAAAGAUGAGAAAUUACUACCUUGGCAGUGGUUGAAACAGACACAUUUGAGGAAGCAGUUUUGAUUUUUAAAAAUCAGCUGAAAUAUAGCCAUGAGAAUCAGAACCUGUGCCACAUUCAGCGAGGCAGUACUGUGAGGCAUUCUAAGUUCUGGGAGUUGUUAGAAAAUGUUGUUCUGUUUGCGACAUUGUGAUAGCUGUGGGAUAUCUAGCCCUAUUCACUGCAUAUUUCACAGUCUAUUUCACAUUUACUACAUUUUCACUAACAAAGUUUCACCAACUGUGUUUCCAUAAAACGUUUUUAAAAGACUUGAAAGUUUCUUAUCACUGAGAGCAUCUUUUUUUCAGUAAGAUUAUUUCUAAUGAUGCAGGACGAAAAAUAUGCUGAGUUAACAUUUAAGAGUUGACUAGAAUAGUCAUCUGUGGAAUUUCCAAAAAAAUAUUUAGUCAGAGCAGUGCAUUUUGGUGCAUUUUAUUUCUAUUAUGCAUAUAAAAGAAUAAUUAUAAUUUUAGCAUUUCUAAACAUCUUCAUAGUCAUUAUGUAAUUUGACCCUUUCUAAGGAAAACACUAAUUGUAGUUAUUUGUUACGCACAUUCUCUGUUCUGAGCUGAAAACGAGGUUGGCAUAGUGUCAUGGGCAAUAAUUAAUAGGUAAGUAUGGGGGAUACCUGUUGUGUCUUUUAGAGAUUUAAUAUCACUUUUUUAAAAACAACAUUGCAUUGUAAAAUUAAUAUUUUAUAAUUAUUAUGUACUUUUAUAUAUCAUAUAAAAUUUUAUUUCUGCUUUAAAUAUAGAUGGGAUCAUUUGAUCAGUUGUGAAGCACUGAGAAAAAUAUAAACAUAAAAUGUUUUACAAGAAAAUGGAGAAAGGAGACACAAUUUUAUUUUGCUUAAGAAGAAUGAGUCAGACAAAUUGGAAACCUUGACAUUGCACAAAAAGGGAUAUCUCUCUACAGCUAUCACAGCUGGGGAUAUGCUGGGUCACAACUUAAGCCAGCACUGCUCUGAGUCUCACCCAAGCCUUUCAGCAAGUACUUCCUGGGUACCACGGCUGAUUAUUCAAGACCCAAGGGCUUUUUAGUCAGCAGAUGAUGAAUUCUGCCAGGACUGGGUUCUUCCCUUCAAGGCUGCAAGUCCCUUCUGGCCCAUGGCGUGUUUAGAAAAGUCAUCCAGAAGUUAGGGCCUAGAAUGGUGGUCUCGCAGUUCUGCCCCAUGUCCUAACCUACUGUAGCUGAGCUAGUAUCCGAGUUACAAGACAUCGCCCUCCUUAUUCUUCCUUCAUCCCUCCUCAAGCAGAGAAAAGGAGUCUCCCAGAGCUGUGGGCUGCACUGCCUGGGGUUGGGGGAGGUGCAACACAAAGACUCUUGGCCACCCUGGCUGGUAUCUCAUUAGAUUGUGUGCACCCCAAGUCCACUGGCUCCAAGCUAAGCACAGCACCGGGAUCUGCCCAGGAAUUGCAGUCUUUGUGGCCUAGGCUGCCUUUCAAGUUUAUUUAGAACCCCAGAGCAUUUUAGGUUAUGGUGGAGGGACUUGCCAGAACUCAGAUUCCAACUGCUGGGAUGGACAAUUUGCCUCUGGCCAGGUCUGGUCUAAAUGCUUCCUCUGUGAGCCCUGGCUGAGUUCUGUCCCAUGUUGCAUUCUGCUGUGACAAGGCAGUACUGAGUUCCAAUACAAAGUCCACAAUCACUGUGCUCUUCCUCCCCCAAGCACACACUCUUCCACUGUCCCACACAGCUGCUGCUGGGGGAUGUCAGUGAUUCAAGACUGUCUUUUCAAUCCUCUUCAGUGCCUCAUUCCUUAAUAUGUUAAAACCAGAUACUGUGAUUGUUCACCGGAUUUUUGGCUCUUAUAAAGGUGCUUUUACGUGUGGAUAGUUGUUCAAUUUGGUCUUCCUGUAGAGUGGGGAACUAUUUCUAGAGGCCUCUAUUCAGCCAUUUUGCUCUGCUUCCUCUAAUUAUAGUUUUUAAUUAAUAUAUUAUGAAUAUAUGUAUAUAUGAACAAAUAUCCAGCUUAUAAAUCAUUUUAAAAUGUUGACCAAUAUUUUGUUGUAUUCUGUACUUUAAAUAUUCCCCUAUUAUUGAAGAUUUAAGUUGUUCUAAUAUUUCACUAUAAUAAACAAUGCUGUUACAAACAUUCUUGCCAGAGCUAAAUAUGAUUUACAUCCUUAAUUACUUAUUUAGGAUAAAUUCCUAAAUGUGAAAUUGCUAAAUCAAAACAUGUAUGUUUUUAAGGAUUUUAAUAUAUAGUGCUAAAUUGACUUCUCAAGCAUUCUAUUAUUAUAUACUCCUUCCAUAAAACUAUGAGACCACUAGUUUCCCUGCUAAUGUGAAACAAUAUUAUAUCUUAAAAAGGAGCACUUUAGAAGUCUCCAAGCUGCAGCUGAAUGUUAGGUAAAGUACACAGAGAAUCACAACAUAUUCAAAUGUCUUUUGCAUGAGUCUCAGAUCAGCAGGCAGAUUUACUAUGAAUGUCAAGAACUGCAUAUAGUAUUUAUCAUCGUCCACUCACACAUAUUUCUAAGAGAUACUCAAUUUGUUGAAAGCCCUUUUCUUCUGCUUAGUCUCAAAGAAUUACAACCCAAGGUGCACUGAAAAAGAAAUCAAUACAGUAUAAAAUUCCUAUUCUCUCAAUAUGCGCAAACGUGAGAAAAUCAACGUUGCCUUGAAGAGAGUCUUGUUACUUCAACAGGAGCUGUAUCUACAAAGAAGAGAAAGAGAUGAGCAAAGAUAUUGGCUCUAAAAUGUGGUAGCAUUCUUCCAAUUCAUCCACAAAGAAGAGAGCCAUAGAAUUGAAAUUUUCAUCAGUUUGAGGAACCUAGAAAAAGUGCCUUCUGAAUAUACAUUCACUUUUUUCUGUACAUAACAAAAACAUUGAUUUAUUGGAUCUGGUUAUAGUGAUUAAAAAUCCAAAAAUUUUUGCUUCCAUUUGAUUUAUUUAAGUGAUACCUAUUCCAUUUCAGAUAACUGGAAACUAUCCUUUGAAAGAAAGUGUAGGGCUCAGAAGCUUGUAGGAGUAAUUUGUAUUAAUUACACUUUGAGAUAUCUAACUACUCACACAUUUUAAUGACAUUCACAUAAAGCUAUAAAAUGAAAACAAUAAAUAUUUCUUCCGAGAGAGAGAGAUAAAGAUAAUGUAAACAGGUAUGAGAGAAACUGAGAUUUUAAAAAAUUGAAGUUCUUUAUGACUUAGAUUCUAUAUUUAAUUCUAUACCUAGGUCCUUUCUACUGAUUUGGUAACCUAUCCUGCUUUCCCUCAGAAAUGUCAGGUCAUCCUGUCCUGAUGCUGCUCUGUUUAUUAGGCUCCAGUUUCCCCUAUAAAUUCACAAGGUGUAAUAAAUGAACCUCCCCCAGUAUCUGUUUUUGUGUGUGUGUGUGUGUGUGUGUGUGUGUGUGUGUGUGUGUGUUUUCCCUAGAGAGAGGAACUCUAAAAACCCCAGGCAAGAAUUCAAAAUCACUUUGUUCAAAUAAACUGACCAUGGAAGAAGGUUUGCCUUUCUGGACUAUUAUUGAAAUCCUUCAAGGAUAUAGACAAGUCUGCAGAGCAAGGGGAAUAGGACUGAGCCUUAAGGAAGAAGAGGUGAAAUAGUUCAAGUUCAGCAGAUGUUAUUAAGGCUUGAAAGUUACAGAGCAGCUAAAAGGAUUUAUAGAAGUUCAAAACAGGCUGGGAUGUAAGAAAGAGAAAUAUCAAUACAACAUCUUAAAAUGAAAUAAUCUAGACAGAUAAUAGAAGUCGCUGCCCUAAAAUACAAGUUACCAAAUUUGACCUAAAUCAUAAACACUUAUCAAUCAAGUUUUCCUCAAGAAUGAAUGUGAUGCCAACGUCUUGCAUUAUGAUGAUAUUGACAACUGAGAUUUAUUGGGAAAUUGUUGGAAAAAUCAGAAUUUACAGAAAAGUUACAAACAUAGUACAGAGAAUUAUCUUAUGCCGUUUAUCCUAUUGUUAACAUCUUUACAGUCCCAUAGUACCUUUGUCAAUUACAAGAAACCAACCUUAGGCUGGGCACGGUGGCUUAAGCUGGUAAUCUCAGCACUUUGGGAGGCCGAGGAGGGCAGAUCACAAGGCCAGGAGAUCGAGACCAUCCUGGCUAACACGGUGAAACCCCGUCUCUACUAAAAAUACAAAAAAUUAGCUGGGUGCGGUGGCAGGUGCCUGUAGUCCCAGCUACUAGGGAGGCUGAGGCAGGA
rnacentral:lncRNA from 10 species